GAGAUGCACCAUGCUGGCCUGAAAUUUUGCUCGUCGCACCAUACACAACGACAACGGAGACGGAACAAAACGGUCACCUAGCGAAAGCAAUAACAUGAUUAGAUAUUUGACUUCAUCAGUAUCACCUGCCUAACAAUCACUUC
rnacentral:SRP_RNA from 1 species